CCUACGGGGGGCUACAGUGAGGAAUAUUGGUCAAUGGGCGUAAGCCUGAACCAGCCAAGUCGCGUGAGGGAUGAAGGUUCUAUGGAUCGUAAACCUCUUUUAUAAGGGAGUAAAGGGUGGGACGUGUCCUAUUUUGUAUGUACCUUAUGAAUAAGGAUCGGCUAACUCCGUGCCAGCAGCCGCGGUAAUACGGAGGAUCCGAGCGGUAUCCGGAUUUAUUGGGUUUAAAGGGUGCGUAGGCGGCCUUUUAAGUUAGCGGUGAAAGUCUGUGGCUCAACCAUAGAAUGGCCGUUGAAACUGGGGGGCUUGAGUAUGUUUGAGGCAGGCGGAAUGCGUGGUGUAGCGGUGAAAUGCUUAGAUAUCACGCAGAACCCCGAUUGCGAAGGCAGCCUGCCAAGCCAUGACUGACGCUGAUGCACGAAAGCGUGGGGAUCAAACAGGAUUAGAUACCCUGGUAGUC
rnacentral:rRNA from 1 species